GGUAAUGGCUUAACAAGACUAUGACGGAUAACGGUAUUACUUUGUAAUAUUCCGGAGAAGGAGCCUGAGAGAUUGCUACUAAGUCUAAGGAUUGCAGCAGGGGCGAAACUUGACCUAUGAUAUUAUAUUGAGGCAGUUAUGAGUAGUAUUUUAUAAUUAUUGUAGUAUUGUAAGUACAUAUUACAAGAUAAAUCAGAGGGCAAAUCGAGUGCCAGCAGCCGCGGUAAUACUUGUUCCGAUAGUGUGUAUGAUGAUUGAUGCAAUUAAAAAGUCUGUAGUUUAUUUUAUAAUAAGCAUUGUAAGGUAUACUGUAUGGUUAGGAGAGAGAUGAAAUGUGAUAACCCUAACUGGAUGAACAGAAGCGAAAGCUGUAUACUUAAAUGUAUUAUUAGAACAAGGACGUAAGCUAGAGGAUCGAAGAUGAUUAGAUACCAUUGUAGUUCUAGCAGUAAACUAUGUUGAAUCAUAGAUAUAUUUUGAUAUAUAUUUAUGUAGAGAAAUUAAGAUUAUAUUGACUCUGGGGAUAGUAUGAUCGCAAGAUUGAAAAUUAAAGAAAUUGACGGAAGAAUACCACAAGGAGUGGAUUGUGCGGCUUAAUUUGACUCAACGCGGGGUAAUUUACCAGGUAUAACAUGAUAUAAUAUUUUAUCAUGAUAGUGGUGCAUGGCCGUUUCCAAUGGAUGCUGUGAAGUAAUGAUUAAUUUCAACAAGAUGUGAGACCCUCAUUUAGACAGAUGUAGUGAUACAUAUGAAGGAGAGGAUUAAAACAGGUCCGUUAUGCCCUAAGAUAAUCUGGGUUGCACGCGCAAUACAAAAAUAUUUGAUAUUAUAAGGGAUAAUAUAAUGUAAGAUAUAUUUGAACAUGGAAUUGCUAGUAAAUUUUAUUUAAUAAGUAGAAUUGAAUGAGUCCCUGUUCUUUGUACACA
rnacentral:rRNA from 1 species